UGUAGGUUUUACUCUCCUAGCCCCAUACAUUACAAAUAAAGAAAUAACCCUCCCCACCAUCACAUCCUCUUAUUUCCUGUUUCUGGUGCUGGUGCUCCAUUACCCAUGGAGCUUGAAUCUGGCAAAGGCAUUCUGAAGAUUAGAAGAGUAGAUAGCUGCUACUGCUGCAGUGUGUGCUCUCUCUCUCCCCGUUUUUUUCUCUGCCUCGCCUCCCUCUAUGGCCCACAAGCGGUAAACAUUGUGUGUUGACAUAUGGCCCUCACAGAUUUAAUCACCUUUAUUACAUUUUGUCACUGGAAAAAUAUGAAGUAAUACAAGUUUGCACAUUACGGUAUGUGCGUGUCUGUGUGUGUUUUCUUGGCUCAAAGGUCUAUCCGAAACAACAGAUGCAUAACCAAAAAGUGUUUAUUUGAAAAUAUUUGUCUUUGCACAUUUAAUAUUUAUUGCAUACAUAUUGAAUAUUUGAAUUGCAUCAAACAUGUAAAUUAUUCACUGUCAUAAUUACCUGUGUUUAUUCACAUAGUUACUACUCGGCUGUUGAUUGAAGCUUAUUUGUUAUUCAUGGAGCAAACCUUGUGCCAAAGGACUCUCCUGAUGAUGUAACUUCAUGUAAUUGCAGGCAGAUGACAGUAAUGCAAAAUCCAUUACGUCGUUUAAUCACUUUAGAAGAAUGCACAGGGGGCUAUCUGUGGCCUAUCACUCAAUCAUACAGUCAAAGUGUUGGAUAGGCAUACAAGCCUACACCGACUCCUCAGUUCUUUGUGAGUGAUUGUGUGCUUUUUAGUAAUGUGUUGUUCGCCAAUCUGUGCUAAUCCCAUGAUCCCACUCUGCAAUGUAUUAUGACAUUUUGAUCACGUUUCACUCCCCCUCCUUCAUCAACAGUCACUAAACACUGAGAAACAAUAGCAUCAUUUAAUUAAGUCCUGGGAUACAGACAUUUCUCUCGCAUAAAACCAAAUGUUCUUCUUUUUUUUCAUAAAUCUCUUUCACUCCCAUUCUUUUUCUCUGUGCAUCCAACCUAAAGAUGGUGCCACCGGGAAAAGCAGACAACCGUCGCACUGGUUUGGAAAGAUCCCGUUCGCGCCACAAUGCAAACCCUAUGGUCCGAUGAUCGCUUGCCGGCUACGGACAUUUGCCAAGUGCCAAAGACCCAAGAGUGGGGACAACACUGAGGAGGGCUGA
ensembl:lncRNA